GAUGAACGCUAGCGGCAGGCUUAACACAUGCAAGUCGAGGGGUAUAUAGUUUUCGGAUUAUAGAGACCGGCAAACGGGUGCGGAACACGUACGCAAUCUGCCUUUACCUGGGGGAUAGCCCAUAGAAAUGUGGAUUAAUACCCCAUAGUAUUAUUUGGUGGCAUCAUUAGAUAAUUAAAGAACUUCGGGUGAAGAUGAGCGUGCGUAAGAUUAGCUAGUUGGCGGGGUAACGGCCCACCAAGGCGACGAUCUUUAGCUGAUGUGAGAGCAUGAUCGGCAACACGGGCACUGAGACACGGGCCCGACUCCUACGGGAGGCAGCAGUGAGGAAUAUUGGUCAAUGGGCGGAAGCCUGAACCAGCCAAGUAGCGUGCAGGAUGACGGCCCUAUGGGUUGUAAACUGCUUUUAUACAGGAAUAAAGUUAGCCACGUGUGGUUAUUUGUAGGUACUGUAUGAAUAAGGACCGGCUAAUUCCGUGCCAGCAGCCGCCGUAA
rnacentral:rRNA from 1 species